UUGCGCGAAAUUUUAUGGCAUUUUUUUAUUGGUCAAUAGCGAAAUGACGUUAUAUUUUUUCGCGAACUUCAAAGAUAUAUACCCAUUUGACGGAGAUGAAACCGAAACUGAAAAUAGAUUCAUAGACUAGAUUAAAAAGAACUUGUAUGACCCUUACCACGAUAGAAUUUCAGCUUAAAGAUCAUUUUGUGUUGUAAUUACGCCAGCGUUUAUGCAAAUUAGGCAUAAUUUUCCCGACAGUUCAUACACCGAUGAAAUGCAGAAAAAUGCUAUUCAAUUCUUAAGUAAAUUUUGACAUAAUUUAGGUCUUUUCCCCACCUAAUGGGAACUUAUUGGAGCAAGCUUCUGUUUUUUAAGUGACUAAUUUUAUACCUCGUCAUAAGCAUGCAGUUAAGAUAUGCAAGACACAAUUUUCAUUUGAAUUUAUUUACACAUCCCAAUCUUCUGCUCUUAUUCCUCACUGAGUCAGUCAAUUUCAUCCCAGUCAAAACUGUCUCUCGGGUAUUUUUAGUGACUGGUGACAAAGCUUUAUCAAUAGAUAUGCAAAUGAGCCUAAAAUGUCACUUAAAUUCUGCUUUAUUUUGCCUUUUCUGGAAAGUGCUGUAUUUUUGUUUGAUAUUGCAAUGUUAAAUGCCUUCUGAUGCUUGUUUUUUAUAUUUUGUUAGCUCACCUGAGCACAUUGUUUAAAGGUCAAAAAUGGCCAUAAAUGAGCUUGUUCGGGCCAUAACUUUGUCAUUCAUUGUGAGAUUUUAAAAUCAUUUGGCACAUUUGUUCACCAUUAUUGGACGGUGUGUCGCGCGAAAGAAUUACGUCAAUAACUCCAAGGUCAAGGUCACACUGGCCAUAAAGGAGCUUGUCCAGGCCAUAAUUAUGUCUUAUAUUGUGAGAUUUUAAAAUCAUUUGGCACAUUUGUUCACAACCAUUAGACGGUGUGUCAUGCGAAAGAAUAAUGUCGAUGUCUGCAACGUCAAGGUUACACUUGAGUUCAAAGGUCAAAAAUGGCCAUAAACUUGUCCGGGCCAUAACUAUGUCAUUCAUUGUGAGAUUUAAAAUUACUCUGUAUAUUUGUUCACAAUCAUUAGACGGUGUGUCGCGCGAAUAAAUUAUGUCAAUAACUCCAAGGUCAAAAGUAACACUUUGAGUUCAAAGGUCAAAAAUGGCCAUAAAUGAGCUUGUGCGGGCCAUAACUAUGUAAUUCAUUGUGAGAUUUUAAAAUCAUUUGGCCUAUUUGUUCACCAUUAUUGGAAGGUGUGUCAUGCGAAAGAAUAAUGUCAAUAUCUGCAACGUCAAGGUCACACUUUGAGUUCGAAGGUCAAAAAUGGCCAUAAAUGAUCUUAUCUGGGGCCAUAACUGUCAUUCAUUGUGAGAGUUUUAAAUUACUCGGUACAUUUGUUCACAAUCAUUAGACGGUGUGGCGCGCGAAAGAAUAACGUGAAUUACUUCCAGGUCAAAGUUACACUUUGAGUUCAAAGUUCAAAAAGGGCCAUAAAUGAGCUUGUCCGGGCCAUAACUAUUUCAUUCAUUGUUAGAUUUUAAAAUCAUUUGGCCUAUUUGUUCACCAUUAUUGGAAGGUGUGUCAUGCGCAAAAAUAAGGUCUAUAUCUCCAAGGUCAAGGUCACACUUUGAGUUCGAAGGUCAAAAAUGGCCAUAAAUGAGCUUGUCCGGGUCAUAACUAUGUCAUUCAUUGUGAGAUUUUUAAAUCAUUUGGCACAUUUGUUCACAAUCAUUGGAUGGUGUGUCAUGCGAAAGAAUUAUGUCGAUAUCUGCAAGGUCAAACUGUGAGUUCAAAGGUCAAAAAUGGCCAUUAAUGAUAUUGUCUGGGCCAUAACUAUGUCAUUCAUUGUGAGAUUUUAAAAUUAUUCUGUACAUUUGUUCACAAUCAUUAGACAGUGUGUCAUGAGAAAGAAUUACGUCGAUAUCUCCAAGGUCAAGGUCACACUUGGAGUUCAAAAGUAAAAAAUGGCCAUAAAUGAGCUUGUCCGGGCCAUAACUAUGUCAAUCAUUGUGAGAUUUUAAAAUUUCUCGGUACACGUCUUUGACAAAGCUCUAAUUAUAAAUAUA